rnacentral:rRNA from 1 species
UACGUAGGGUGCGAGCGUUAAUCGGAAUUACUGGGCGUAAAGCGUGCGCAGGCGGUCUGUUAAGACCGAUGUGAAAUCCCCGGGCUUAACCUGGGAACUGCAUUGGUGACUGGCAGGCUUUGAGUGUGGCAGAGGGAGGUAGAAUUCCACGUGUAGCAGUGAAAUGCGUAGAGAUGUGGAGGAACACCCAUGGCGAAGGCAGGCCUUCUGGCAUAUUCUUGACUCUGAGCGACGACAGCGUGGGGAGCAAACAGG